rnacentral:rRNA from 1 species
AGUAAUACAUCGGAACGUGUCUUCUAGUGGGGGAUAACUGCCCGAAAGGGCAGCUGAUACCGCAUGAGACCUGAGGGUGAAAGCGGGGGGUCGCAAGACCUCGCGCUGGAAGAGCGGCCGAUGUCCGAUUAGCUAGUUGGUGAGGUAAAGGCUCACCAAGGCGACGAUCGGUAGCUGGUCUGAGAGGACGACCAGCCACACUGGGACUGAGACACGGCCCAG